GCCCUGUGCUUGCUGGAGGUGUUGUGUAGGCACAGCUUUCUUGUGGCUGCGAUGGGCCAGAGAAAUCCUGUGAUUUAUGCAUGGGAGCUGUUUCUUCUCAGCAGCUGCCAUAGCCCGGCCAUUGGUACAUUG